rnacentral:sRNA from 1 species
UAUAAAAAUAAAAUUUGCAAGUUUUAAUAGAUAUUACUUUUAAAAAAUAAAUCAUCCCGCGGUAUACCGCGGGUUAAAAUCUAGUUUUA